GCAUUCAUGGCCAAGUCGUUAAGGCGUUAGACUAAAAAUCUAAUCCCCUCUACUGGAGCAGGUUCGAAUCAUGUUGACUGCG
rnacentral:tRNA from 1 species